rnacentral:rRNA from 1 species
UUGGAGGGCAAGUCUGGUGCCAGCAGCCGCGGUAAUUCCAGCUCCAAUAGCGUAUAUUAAAGUUGUUGCAGUUAAAAAGCUCGUAGUUGAACUUCGGGGUCUACCCAUUGGUCAGGCUUAAUUGUCUGCACUGGUGAGAUGGAUCUCUACCUUCUGAGGAACUUUCAUGCCAUUUAUUUGGUGUGAUGGGAAAUCAGGACUGUUACUUUGAAAAAAUUAGAGUGUUUAAAGCAGGCUAACGUCUGAAUACAUUAGCAUGGAAUAAUGAAAUAGGACGGAUUGGUUCUAUUUCGUUGGUUUCUAGGAUCACCGUAAUGAUUAAUAGGGAUAGUUGGGGGCAUUAGUAUUCAAUUGUCAGGGGUGAAAUUCUUGGAUUUAUUGAAGACUAACUACUGCGAAAGCAUUUGCCAAGGAUGUUUUCAUUAAUCAAGAGCGAAAGUUAGGGGAUCGAAGACGAUCAGAUACCGUCGUAGUCUUAACCAUAAACUAUGCCGACUAGGGAUCGGACGAAGUUAAUUUUAUAAUGACGCGUUCGGCGCCUUACGGGAAAC